CUCACACUCCGUUGUCAGGACAAUAACGCUGAAAGCAUUUGAAAUUUAUCAAUUUUCACUCUAGCAGAAGGCAUUUAGCGACAGCUGUAAACAGAAUGGCAGAAGAACCUUUUGAGAGGACGGAAAAGAAACCCGAGCCUGUCAGCAUUACCUCCCCUGAAAUGUAAGAAACUGGUGGAUUCCAAGACAAAAUUGUGGAAAAUGGAGACAUCCUCAAAUAACAGAAAGAAAUAAAGGCUGAAGAGGCAGGAUCACAGAUGUCAGAUGAAAGUUACCGCAAAAAAGGUUAAGUUGGAAAAGAGUGAAAAUGAAAAUGGAUGCUUGUGCAGUGACUGAAGUUGAAGUCAUAAAUUGAGGAUGAUGAAGCUACACGAAAAAGCUCUCAGCUCUACAGUCCGAGUCUGACCGACUUGUCCGACGAGCCACUGUCGGCGGCACUGCGAUCGCAGGCCCCUCACGGUGUGUGCUUACUCAGGCAAGUGUCGUGGGGAUUUGUUAAUGUAGAGGCUGACUGUACGCUGUAGGUGUCUGCAGACUUCCAUCAUUAGAGGAACAGUUCUAUGAACAGUACAUGCCAUUCUCGGGAGUGUGGACCACUUCGUUGGUUACUCGAGUUCCACAUCUGACCCCAGAACUGUCAUUUACUGCAGCUAGGCAUUUAGCACUAAUAAAAUGUGAGUUACAUAAAAUGGAAGUGUCCGACAUAUCAGCAGCCGUGAAGAUAUGAAAAUUUAAAGGUAUCUCCAUUUUGAGCAGUACAAACUUUAGAAUUAUUAUUCUAAUUUGUUAAUCCUGUGGUGUAGUCCACGUACUGUGUGAAAGUGACUUGUCAACAUAUGAUCGAAGAACAUUUAUUAUAAACUUUCCUGGUGAUCUCAGUGAACUGCAUUUGGUAAUAUCAAGACCUAUGAACUGGUUAAGAGACUUACUCAGUUAUAAAACUUUUGUGCCUGUGUUUGUUUAUAUUAUGCAUUAUAUGUAUAUUUAACCAAUUGUAUAAGAAAUCUUUAAAUAAGAAUGUAAAAUGACUGUGUAAACUUGUGACUAGUAAUAAUUGAAGGUUAUUGGCAACGAAAUGUUGUUGUAAGCUUGUAGUGUAUCUUACGGAAUAUGCCCAUGACACGGGCAAGUCCUAGGAGCAAUACACAUUGGGUUCAGAGCUGGCUAGAAAUAACUUUUUCAGUUAUUUUGAAAUUUAACUUAGUCAUCUGCCAGAAUGCCUAUGAUGUUGGGGGCUAGAAUAAAUCUGCAGUAACUCAUUUUCUGUUGUAAAAGGCAAAUAA
rnacentral:lncRNA from 1 species